UCGACAUCUACCGCAUCCUCAAGCUAUGGGGAGCUCCGGAAUCCGUCUGCCUCUGCGGCCUUUUCCACUCCGCCUACUCCAACUCGUACGUCAACCUCGCGAUCUUCGACCCUUCCACCGGCCGCGACGUUGUCCGCCGCCACGUGGGCGACACCGCCGAGAGGCUGAUCCACCUGUUUUGCAUCGUGCCUCGCCAGUCUCUGAUCCACGACGAUCUCCUGUUCAACUACCCCGACGACUCCGAACUCCGCCGCCACCUAGUUGAAUCAGAAACUUCUCUGCUGAACGCGAAGGAGAGAGGGGAAUUCGAUGCAGGGGAGGAGUGGAGGGUAAAGCUGAAUUCGUUAUUGCCGGCUGAUGGAGUUAAAGUUAAGCAUAUUAGGACCGGAGAUGAGGUGGAGGUGUCCAGAAGAGUGGUGGCUACUUUCUUGCUGAUGACCAUCGCCGAUUUCAGCGAUCAAUCGUUCGGAUUCCAGGACGAGUUGUUCGAAAAUUCGAACGGGAGAUUGGAAUUCUCCGGGAACAAAUUCAACGCUCUCUGGCCAGGGGACGGCAAGCCAGGGCUGUGGAUCAACUCAAUUUCGAGGAUGGGAGCUGUGUACACGCUGAUAGUCAGAGAGGAGGAGAUAAUUAGGGCACAGAAUGGCCAGAGGAAGAGAGUUGGAGUGGAGGAUGAAGAACUGGAUCUGGUGAUGCCGC
rnacentral:lncRNA from 1 species